UGGAAGUAAAAGUCGUAACAAGGUUUCCGUAGGUGAACCUGCGGAAGGAUCAUUAUCGUGGGGCUCCGGCCCCGUCGAGAUAGAACCCUUGCCUUUUCGAGUACCGUCCGUUUCCUCGGCAGGCCCGCCUGCCAACGGGGACCCCAAACAAACUCUUUUAUGUACCUGUACCCGUCUGAACAACAAACAAAAGUUAAAACUUUCAACAACGGAUCUCUUGGUUCUGGCAUCGAUGAAGAACGCAGCGAAAUGCGAUAAGUAGUGUGAAUUGCAGAAUUCAGUGAAUCAUCGAAUCUUUGAACGCACAUUGCGCCCUUUGGUAUUCCUUAGGGCAUGCCUGUUCGAGCGUCAUUGAAAACCUCAAGCUCGGCUUGGUGUUGGGCGCCUGUCCCCGCCCCCCGCGGGGACUCGCCUUAAAAUCAUUGGCGGCCGGUACAUUGGCUUCGAGCGCAGCAGAAACGCGAACUCGGGCCCGGUGGAUCGGCUCCCAGAAGCAACCCCUUCUCAGUGUGACCUCGGAUCAGGUAGGGAUACCCGCUGAACUUAAGCAUAUCAAUAAGCGGAGGAA
rnacentral:misc_RNA from 1 species